UAUUUCCCAGAAUUCUUUAGCCUCGUUCAAGAAGGAGGGCAUUUUGGGACAAUAUCUUUGAGACAGAAGAGAUUGUUAUUCUUCAUGAAUUUUACUCUGAACUAAUUACUUUCAUGUAGCAUUAAUUGCCAUGUUUUCACAGGCACAUAUUCUGGAUGAACACAUCAAAGAAAGAUAAAAGUUGGAACUUUUAAGAUAGAAAUUAGUGGGUUCUGUGCUUUGUCCUUCUGGAAACCUCAGAUCCAAAACAUCAGAAAUUUGUAUUUUUUUCAGAGUCUAGGCAGAUUCAAUAUUUUAUCCUGAAGUGGGAUCUUUACUUCUGGGAGAGCACCUGGCUGUUCUUACUUAAAAUAAGGAUUACUCCAUUUCUUCAGAUACGAAGACAUUACUUCAACAUUAAUUCUGGUCAACACCUUGCUCAACAUGAGGCGGUUGAUGGAGUAUUGCCCGGCCCUGCCUCUUAAAUCCAGUCGCCCUACCAGAAACAAAUUGUCUUUAAAGCAGGAUUGGCUGCACAGUUCGCUGAUGACUUUUUGAAGGUGCCAGGACUGGGUAACUUGCCAUACUUCUAUUCCAGGUUCAGACUGAAUUGAAUCACACAUCCAAAAAUAAACAUCUCUUGACAUUUUCCUUUAUGGCACAUUAUACCAGCCUAAUUUAAGACAGACAAAUACACUCAUUUUCAACAUACGUCCAUGCAGGGCAUAGGACAAAAAAGAUCUUUAUAUUUGCUCAUACUUGUGACAGUAGAUGGAAGUGACUUUCCUUUUAUGUAAUUUACCUGUUACUCUUUUGUUGUCCUCUUCAAUUGUCUUGUCUAUGAAUAUCAGACUCCUGAGAAGAAAGAAUAUUUUUUAAAGCCAACAGUGCAGAGGAGUUGUAUCAAACUAAAACUUUUCAAUGCCUUUUGGAAGCUUACAGAUGGGAGAUAGUUCUAGCAUUUCAAGAUAGCCUGAACCAAAAGACACUGAUAUAAAUACUAUCUUCUGAUUAUCAGCAUAUGCUGAUUAUAUAAUUGUUAUUAUAUAUACUUGUCUGUAUGUUACUGGGUUUGUCUUUAGUAUCUGUUCUGCUCAUGACUUUCUGGAGAGCUCCCACAACCUAAUUCAAAUAUUCUUUCUGGCUUCUGGUAAGAUCCCUGGAGGUUGUGAUAAAGCUUUAUUAGUUUCAUUAGACUUUCAUUACAGAACAAUCAGAAUUGUACUAACAAAUCCCCUUGUUAUUGCUGUAUAAAUCGUACAUCAUAUCUGCUUAGUGGUUUCUUAGUGGUGAGUAGCUGAAUGUUCUAAGAGUGCAAAAAGUAAACGAACAUUUGCUGAGCAAAGGCCUGUCAGGCUCCUAUUUAUUUCCAGACAGUCCUGAAAUUCUCUGUCAAUCCUUUACUUGUUCUUGUCUUCUCUGAGUGAAGGUAUUGAAUAGCAUUUUCACCUGGUGUCUGGCAACAUCAGAAUGUAUCCAGUAACUGUUGAGAACUGGAUGUAAUGGGAAGUAGUGGUUCCCUAUAAAGCUCAGCCUCUGAGAAACAGGCAGAACAAUAAAUAGCAUCUCUUUUAAGUUUCUCUUUUUAUGUGCUAUGAAGAGAAUAUCCAAGAAUUUAUCUAGCAAAAGAGUAUUACAUAGUUAUUUCUGCUUCUAUUUUCCUACAGAAUUGUUGUAAUUAAAUUGCAAGGUGACAGAGUGAGUUCUAG
ensembl:lncRNA